AAGAAGAAAAAUAGAGGAGAGGGUGGAGCGGAGGAGACGAACGACGAAACUUGAAGCGCUCAUCGGCAACGUUGGGACCGAACCAUUUAGGAAGGGAGAACGCCGACGGUUAUGGUCAAGAGAAGUUGAUGAGUCCUCAUGAAGAAGAAGACAUGGGGUGCUGAGAGGAAAGAAAGAUCAAGAAGAAGGUGGGAAGAAGAGCGAAAAAAUCGUGGGGCGUAGCCUGUGCCGAGUUCCUUAGAGAGAGUUGUCUCGCGCCCCUAGGUAUUCUCUACCUACCCACCCGACCCGACUCACGUGAAAAUUCUCAAUUAGCUUAGUCAAGUGGACACUUGAAGACUCAUAAAGUUUUGGGAAGUCUACGAUCAUGUGAAAAGUAGAUCUGGAUCGGUGGCGGGAACGUGUGGAGGUGUGCAGCUGUAGAAGGGGCCCUUAGAUUGAGUCCUCUUCUCCCAUGUCGUUUUGGUUAUGAUUUUGGUGUUUUUCGGGGCCCUUAGAUUGAGUCCUCUUCUCCCAUGUCGUUUUGGUUAUGAUUUUGAUGUUUUUGGAAAAAACACGCGAUAUUUUGCAACCGUUUCCUUUUGAUGUGACUCUGCGGGUUCUCGUUAUGUGUUUUGUAGUAAUUUUGAUAUUUUUAAAUGUAUAUAAGACAACUUUAACUU